CGUCAUCGCAGGUCCUGCAGCCCCAGGAGGUGAGAUCUGCAGAUGAUGGUUCUUUCCAUCAGUGACCCACCAAGGAUGGAGAAGGACAGAGACCACAUGGCUGCGAGGAUAUUAGACCUCACCCUGGAGAUCAUCUCCUUGAUAACUGGAGAGGAUUACACAGUAGUGAAGAAGUCGUCUGGUGAGUGUGUGACACCCCGUGUGUCAGGAGGAU